AUUGAAUCGGGGGAUUGGCCUUGCAACGCCCAUAUGUGCCCCCACAGCCAUAUUAGGGACAGGAGGAGAACCUCGUCCUAACAUGAGCAAAGUUGAAGGCCCAGUUACGCUCAGACCGGACGGGGGGAGAGGCCCUGCAGUGCCCAUAUGCUCCUCCAUAGCCCUGUUAGUGACAAGAGGAGGACCUCAUCCUAACCUGAGCUAAAAUUGAUUAUGUCAGAAAUAGGGGAAGAACCCCAUCCUGACGUCGGUCGAGCUCCGAUCAUUUAAGACC
rnacentral:lncRNA from 1 species